ensembl:lncRNA
CACUGCUCAUGCAUUUUCACUAAAUAGAUGGAAAACAAUGGCUUCAAGCACCUAUACAUGCAGAUCAUUAAAAUCUAAACAGCUGUAAUAACUAUACUUGAAGAAGACAAAAGUAAUAGUUUUGAAUGGUAUCUGUGUUAUUUUUAUUGAGCUUAUUGCAGAGAGCUUUUGGCACGCCUGCAGAUAGAAAAAGGCUGAAUCUGCAGAGCUCCUUCAAGCACUGGUGUUGUAAGCUCCUAUGAUGUUAUCAGGAGACUUGUGAUACUUGCUGUCCUGCUGAAAGCCUCAUUGCAGCAUGGAAAAUUGCAGAGAACCCC